rnacentral:rRNA from 1 species
AUUGAACGCUGGCGGCAGGCUUAACACAUGCAAGUCGAGCGGGGGGAGGUAGCUUGCUACCUAACCUAGCGGCGGACGGGUGAGUAAUGCUUAGGAAUCUGCCUAUUAGUGGGGGACAACAUUUCGAAAGGGAUGCUAAUACCGCAUACGCCCUAAGGGGGAAAGCAGGGGAUCUUCGGACCUUGCGCUAAUAGAUGAGCCUAAGUCGGAUUAGCUAGUUGGUGGGGUAAAGGCCUACCAAGGCGACGAUCUGUAACGGGCCUGAGAGGAUGAGCCGCCACACUGGGACUGAAACACGGCCCAGACUCCUACGGGAGGCAGCAGUGGGGAAUAUUGGACAAUGGGGGGAACCCUGAUCCAGCCAUGCCGCGUGUGUGAAGAAGGCCUUUUGGUUGUAAAGCACUUUAAGCGAGGAGGAGGCUACUGAGAUUAAUACUCUUGGAUAGUGGACGUUACUCGCAGAAUAAGCACCGGCUAACUCUGUGCCAGCCGCCGCGGUAAAAC